rnacentral:tRNA from 1 species
GGGGAUAUAGCUCAGUGGUAGAGCACUUAUUUGGCAUGAAUGAGGCUUUGGGUUCAAUCCCCAGCACCA